rnacentral:tRNA from 1 species
GCCGGAGUAGCUCAGUGGUAGUAGCAAUGCUUUCAUAAGGCAGAGGUCGUGGGUUCAAAUCCCACCUCCGGCA